rnacentral:pre_miRNA from 1 species
CAUCAACACACCGGCGCUGAAAUCUCGUGGGUCUGCAUUGUCAUCACACGCCUUAGUUUCGUUCAUGUAGCACCAUGAGAUUCAGCUCCGGCGGUUGAUA